UGGAGAGCAGAGCCGAGAAAGAGGGAAUGUCCCUGGGGUGGCAUUUCAGCCCUUGGAUACAGCCGUUGCUUGCAGCUGGCACUCAUCGAGGUGUUUUUAAUUAAAACUGCCCCGAGGAAGGGAUUCUAAUCAAGCCAUGGUGGGAUACAGUUCAAGGUCAAGGCGAGGUCAGGAUCAAUGAAGGCAGAGUUGGACAGAUGAGGAAGGGGUGCUCAAGAUGGCGCGGCACAUGCCCAGCAUCACCCAGCGGUCAGCUCUCUGAGUGUAUCAGUGGCCAGGAAGGAAGACAGAGGACUUCGGCAGGGACGGGGACAUCCAGGAGUUCAGCGC